rnacentral:rRNA from 1 species
GAUGAGUAGUGGGCAGCGGGCGGCGGAAGACGUUGGGCGCGAGCUCUGUGCGGAAGUAUUGGGCUUAUAGGGUGCGUAGGGGGUAGGGUACGUCUGCAGUGAAAACCCGGGGCGUCAGCCUGGGGGUGGAGUGGAGACGGGGAGACUAGAGGCAGGGAGGGGGGAAUGGAAUUCCCGGUGGAGCGGUGGAAUGCGCAGAUAUCGGGAGGAACACCGGUGGCGAAGGCGGUUGUCUGGGCCUGACCUGACGCUGAGGAGCGAAAGCGUGGGGAGCGAACAGGAUUAGAUACCCGGGUAGUC